rnacentral:rRNA from 1 species
AUUGAACGCUGGCGGUAGGCCUAACACAUGCAAGUCGAACGCGAAAGUCCUUCGGGAUGAGUAGAGUGGCGGACGGGUGAGUAACGCGUAGGAAUCUAUCCUGUAGUGGGGGAUAACGUUUCGAAAGGAACGCUAAUACCGCAUACGCCCCACGGGGGAAAGCGGGGGAUCUUCGGACCUCGUGCUAUAGGAGGAGCCUGCGUCGGAUUAGCUAGUUGGUGAGGUAAAGGCUCACCAAGGCGACGAUCCGUAGCUGGUCUGAGAGGAUGAUCAGCCACACCGGAACUGAGACACGGUCCGGACUCCUACGGGAGGCAGCAGUGGGGAAUAUUGCGCAAUGGGCGAAAGCCUGACGCAGCCAUACCGCGUGUGUGAAGAAGGCCUUCGGGUUGUAAAGCACUUUCAGUUGGGAGGAAGGGCAGUAAGUUAAUACCUUGCUGUUUUGACGUUACCGACAGAAUAAGCACCGGCUAACUUCGUGCCAGCAGCCGCGGUAAUAC